rnacentral:rRNA from 1 species
GACGCACGCUGGCGGCGUGCUUAACACAUGCAAGUCGAACGGAAAGACCCUGCUUUUGUGGGGUGCCCGAGUGGCGAACGGGUGAGUAACACGUGAGUAACCUGCCCUUGACUUUGGGAGAACUUCAGGAAACUGGGGCUAAUACCGGAUAGGAGCCCCUGCUCCAUGGUGGGGGUUGGAAAGUUGCGGCGGUCGGGGAUGGAGGGGCGGCUGAUCAGCUUGUUGGUGGGGGAGUGGCUGACCAAGGGUUUGACGGGUAGCCGGCUUGGGAGGGUGAACGGCGACAUGGGGACUGAGGGAGGGCGCAGAGGGGAACGGGAGGCAGCGGGGGGGAGUAUGGCACAGUGGGCGGGAGCGUGUGGCGGCGGCGCCGCGUGCGGGAUGACGGCCUUCGGGGUGAAAACAGCUUGCGCCUGUGACGAAGCGGGAGUGACGGUAAUGGGUAAAGAAGCACCGGCUAACUACGUG